ensembl:lncRNA
AGGUCUGGGUUCUCACUCCCAACAGAGCAGGCGGUCUUUCGAGUUAAUUUAACCCCAGGAUCGGAAGGAAAUGGACAACCUAGCUGAAGGCAUUUCUGUAAGAGCACGAGGUGCAAUGCCUGAAGUGCAGUUCCAUGGUGAGAAGUGACUGCGUCUAUAACUGUGUGAGAACCUCCAACAACACGUGCAUUCUUUGCAAGAGAAUGGACAGCAGCACAGCCCAAAGCUUCCAUGGGUGACUUUGUGACAAUUUCUUGAGUCUGUAGAUAAAUACCAAGGUCAUACAGAAUGCAUGCCCUAAUGUCCUUAAAGCAUUACAGUAGAUGCAGUCGUUAGCUCACAGAACCUCUAUUAGUAUUAUUUUUAUUAAGAGUCACUUAGAAAAUGAGACUUUCCAGCUGCAGAAUGACAAGCUAGCUGGGGUGGUCUAAAUUAAACAAGAAGUGUUACUGGGAAAGACAUCCAGACUGAGUGGCCGCGCUGUGACAUUAGAAAUACAUUACUUUGAUUAUGUUACAUUGCUGAUUCAUUCACGGGAAAGUCCCUCCCAAAACUUACAGCUGUGUCUGAGACAAUUUCUGAAGCGAAUUCUUAAGCAAACAAACUCCUUUAGCAAACAGCUUGUAAAGCAACUGCUGACUCUGAGUGUGCAGGUUGAGAUAUCUUGAGGAACUUGGCUGUAAGUGCUGAGCACCUGCAGUUUGGAGAACACUGAAACCUGGAGCUAUCCAAAUAACUUCAGAAGGUGUGAAAAUGCUAAACCUUACAUUUAGUUUAGCCCUUUGUCUGGAGAUGAGAUCUGUAGUGUAAUUUAAGUUCUUCUGGGGAAAAAAAAGGUAAAAACAAAACAUAACCUGAGGCAUUAUGGCCAUUCCCUGUAUUGUGUUUGGGGGUUUUGUUAGUUCAGUGAGUUCUCUCUCUUCUUUCAUCACCUUCCCGUGCUCUUCAGAAAUAUCCUAACAGCUAUGAAGAUUAAAGCUUUAUCGACCAAGACAUACCCAUUUCAGGCAUAUGCAUUAAUCCAUGGCACAAGCAAUACUGUAAUAUUAAGCCUGUAGGUUAUGCUUGUUGCUAGAAUUUAUCAUAUUGACCAGGCCAGUACUUUCUGAGGCACUGGAACAGGUUGCUCAGAGAAGUUGUGGCUGCUCCAUCUCUGGAGGCAUUUAAGCCCAUGGAUGGGCCCUGGGCAGCCUGAGCUGCUGGGGGCACCCAGCCCACAGCAGGGGUUGAAAUUGGGUGGGCUUUAAGGUCCCCUCCAACCCAACCAUUCUAUGAUUUUUCUCAAUAUAUAUUUAUUUUUUGGCUGAACAGCUGGUCAGUGUCAGCUAACGGCCAGUGGGCUUUGGGAGAGAAGUCUUUCAGGUGAUGCUGGACAUUAUCAGGCGUCCCACUCUACAGAAUGAGAGACAACGGGAACAGAUUGUGGAGAGAUUGCAGGUGGACUGGAAGGAAUCACAACCUUCUUACCAGUCAAUAUUAACUGCUGUUUAAACAGGUGUAUCUGUACCAUAUGCAGUGCUUUCCUUGGCAUGAGGCUGUCUCUGAUUUUUAAGGGUUAAUGCUCUCUUAACCCCCCCUUCCUCUCUCUCUGACUGGCUCAGAGCACUGGCUUUCAUUUGAAGGGCACAGCACACUGAGUGAUGUUCACAUGAUACCAAUGACAGCAGCACGAUAAGCCUAUUUCUGACAGUGUGGCAAAUUACUAUUAUGAAAUCCCAGUACAUUUGAUUGCAGAGUGACUUUCAGAAGGGAUCACAGGCAGCAAGGUUAUGAAAGGCUCUGUGUUUACUGCAGUAAUGCUGACUUACUGGAAAAGAAUAUCAAGAGCUCUUCAAAUAAAAAAGCUUGGGAGAUUCCCAAUUCAUAGAACGUUUGGCUGAGUAUAUCCAGCCCAGCAUUACGUCUCUCUAAAAUUAAAGGGAAAAAUAUCAGCAAAAAUUCUUAGGCUGCUUUAAUAGGACUCAUCAGCCUCCAGCUGUCCUUCCCCUCUGACAUUGCUUGCUUCAGGAGAUUAUUGUUGUUCUGUAUCCUCAAAACUGCCUCCCUGUUUCAAUCAAAGAUCAUAGGUUGUCUUGGGUUGGAAGGGGCCUCAUAGAUCAUCCAUCUAGUUCAGGGUCUCCUACAUCCAUAUAGCGCCCAGGUGAAAGGGAGAACAAGAUUCAAGUAAAGAGAUAUGGCAACAGCUUAAGUGGGAGGAGAAAUAGGCAAUGUGUGGGUUGAGACAGCGCAUUACCGAUCUGUAAAAGAAGUAUAUUUUCCAAAUGAAAAGUCAGCAAACAAACACACCUGCUGACUUAUUGCAGCAUCCCGGGCUGUGUUACAACAGGGAGUGUGUUAUGAUUGUCACUGCCCCAGACACCUGUCAUUUAAGAUUAGGUGUGGAAUAAUGCAACCAGAUGAAUGGAAAAGAGCAGGCAUUAAUGGCUCAUCUUUACAGCAAGGUUUUUAUCACACCCCUGGUCAUCACUGGUGACGACCACAUCAGUGGUCGUUUCAUGGUGACACAGGUCUUUAUUCCAUUACCUAAUAAAUAAAUACAAUUAAUAUUUUUUCUAGACUUUGUUUUUAAUGUUUUUUUUAGUUAUGAUAGCCCAAAUAAAUCCAAUUGGUUUUCUUGCUUUUACCAAUUACAAUACCACCAAGUUGUGUUUACUGUAUUCAUAAGCAAUGCUUUGAUUGCUUGCCUCAAUUCGAGUUUGGGUAUUGUGUGUUUCAUAGCAGCACAAGUACUGGAAAGCCUUAGCAUUCUUGUUGUAUUUCACUUCAAGCACAUUAUGCCCCCUUAAUAGUGAAAUGGUGGUCUCUACUACAUCUUUGCAGUGUACUUUUUGAUGCUAUAUUCCAGCCAGUGAUGCAGCAAAGAGCUCAGCAUGCAUAUGAAUCUAAUUAGGAUGACAGAUAAAUCCUGUCGCUGAUUUGAACCUCUUACAGCUCUGUGAUAUUGAGGGAAAGUUUUGUUUUAAGCAGCCUUGUGAUAAAUUUGUGCUCUAGAGUUAGGAGUUUUAACAGUUUCUCUGCAUUUCAUUCAGUGGAGUGGUGACUGCAUUGGCUGUGUUGCCUUUGCUGAGGGAAAUAUCAGUCCUGGCAGGUAGAAUUGGACGUGGCCAAUCCAAGUCUGUCUCUCCAUUACUUCCUCCUGCACUGCCACUAAUUGAGGAACUGCUUAAAUGAUGACUGAAAUGCAUCUCUUCUCUGUAAGUAUGGAUGCAAAAUAUAAAAGUUCCUAAAGUUUGGG